rnacentral:tRNA from 1 species
GCGGGCGUGGCGAAACUGGUAGACGCAACGGACUUAAAAUCCGUUGGGCGUAAGCCCGUGCCGGUUCGAUCCCGGCCGCCCGCACCA